GGCAAACGGGUGCGGAACACGUACGCAACCUACCCAAAACUGGUGAAUAGCCCUCCGAAAGGAGGAUUAAUACACCGUAACUUAAGGAAGUGGCAUCACUAUCUUAAUAUAGCUCCGGCGGUUUUGGAUGGGCGUGCGCCUGAUUAGGUAGUUGGCGGGGUAACGGCCACCAAGCCUGCGAUCAGUAACUGGUGUGAGAGCACGACCAGUCACACGGGCACUGAGACACGGGCCCGACUCCUACGGGAGGCAGCAGUAAGGAAUAUUGGUCAAUGGACGCAAGUCUGAACCAGCCAUGCCGCGUGAAGGAUGAAGGUCCUCUGGAUUGUAAACUUCUUUUAUAUGGGACGAAACCUCUUAUUCUUGAGAGACUGACGGUACCAUAGGAAUAAGCACCGGCUAACUCCGUGCCAGCAGCCGCGG
rnacentral:rRNA from 1 species